rnacentral:rRNA from 1 species
AGCGAAAAAAACUAAUAGAUGAGCUUGCUCCCUUGCGUCGAGCGGCGGACGGGUGAGUAAUACUUGGGAAUCUACCUAAUAGGGGGGGAUAGCUCGGGGAAACUCGAAUUAAUACCGCAAACUUCCUACGGGAAAAAGGGGGCAAUUUGUUGCUCUCGCUUUUAUAUAAGCCCAAAUCGGAUUAUCUCCAUAGGGGGGUAAAGGCCCCCCAGGGGGACAAUCUGUAUCUGGGCUGAGAGGAUAAUCACCCCCACCGGGGCUGAGACACAGCCCGGACUCCCCCGGGAGGCAUCAGUGGGGAAUAUUGGAGAAAGGGGGGAACCCUGAUCCCCCCCUGCCCCGUGUGUGAAAAAAGCCUUUUGUUUGUAAACCACUUUUAACACUGAGAAAAACACUUCGGUUAAUACCCGGGGACAAUGUCAUUUUCUGCACAAAAAACACCGGCUAUCUCUGUGCCACCACCCGCGGUAAUACAGAGGGUGCGCGCGUUGUCUCAGUUACUGUGCGUAUAGCGGGCGUAGGUGGGGUGAGACUCUCAUAUGAAAUCUCGGGGCUUAUCCUGGGAACUGCAUCUCAGACUGUGUGGCUCUAGUAUGUGUGAGAGAACAAUA